rnacentral:lncRNA from 1 species
UAAACAUUCUGAUACUAAUCUUUGUAAUUUGAAACCAAAAUGAAAAAAAUAAAACUUGCUUAUGAGAUAAGUGUAGCAUACAUAGAUUCAUCAGUCCAAGCGAUCAGGUUUCUUCCUUUCCUUCUUCUUCCGGGGUUCUUCUGUUAUCGUGGAUAAGCCUAGAAAAAAAUGAAUUUAUCUCAUCAAAUUUUUUUUUUUUCUAUGUAGGAAAGAUCAGAAUUUUUUUUUUUAUUCCUAUACGCAUAAGAAACUGAAAAUAAAAUUAUUUUACCCAUAAUAAAUUGAAAAUACCAUGAAUUUUGUCCUUGAGCAUCAUCUUUCGAAGCCUUGUUGCUCUAGCCUCUUCAAACAGACACGUUGACUCUAUCUGUUUGCUGAUCAUUUGAGCAGCAUAGUAAGGGAUUUUGCCACGAAAGGACCGGACAUUAACGAACAUGAUACAGUCCAUCAAGCUUUCUCUUGAAAGCCCUUUGAUGUCAUAAGCUCUUGACCUUGUCCAGAGACUCUUACCAUGCGUAUUCACAGGUUCAGACAAGCAAAGAGCUCUUGUGCAAUCACUUAUGGCUGCGUCUGCAUCUCCGAUAAGUAAGUAACACUCUCCUCUAUCGCUAAAUAGACUCAUUCUCUUUCUCCUAAGUUUCAAAGGGCAUAAUCCUAUUGCUUCGUUGUAGCAUUUAAUAGCUCCCUCUAUGUCUCCUACACAAAGAAAUUGAUUUGCUUGCUUCUUAAUCAAAUUCACAACUACACUAGCCUCUGCCAACCUUUCUUGAUUAUCUCCCUCUAUAAGCUUUCUCUCCCUCUUUCUCCUCUCUAAUUUAAUCCUCCAUAUUUCUUUCAAAGCCUUUUGGGCCUUGUAUGUGUAAGCAUAACCUUUCUUUUUAUUGUUAUCCAUUAGAAGAACCCUAGUUAUUCUAUCACCUAGGUUUGGUCUAUCAUUAAGAGCUUUAAGCUCAACUAGGUCUACUAGAUAAAACAAUGAUGUCUCUAAGACUUUGUACCUUGUUUCUUGGUCUUUGAGCAGAAGCAAUAGACAAUCUACACCCAUGUAUUGCCAAUCAUCAGAAGACCGGGAGAGGUUGC